rnacentral:rRNA from 1 species
AUACGUAGGGGGCAAGCGUUAUCCGGAUUUACUGGGUGUAAAGGGAGUGUAGGUGGUCUGGCAAGUCAGAUGUGAAAGCCCGCGGCUCAACUGCGGGACUGCAUUUGAAACUGUCAGGCUGGAGUGCAGGAGAGGAAAGUGGAAUUCCUAGUGUAGCGGUGAAAUGCGUAGAUAUUAGGAAGAACACCAGUGGCGAAGGCGGCUUUCUGGACUGUAACUGACACUGAGGCUCGAAAGCGUGGGGAGCAAACAGGAUUAGAUCCCCUGGUAGUCCACGCCGUAAACGAUGAAUACUAGGUGUCGGGUGGCAAAGCCAUUCGGUGCCGCAGCUAACGCAAUAAGUAUUCCACCUGGGGAGUACGUUCGCAAGAAUGAAACUCAAAGGAAUUGACGGGG